UACGGAGGGGGCUAGCGUUGUUCGGAAUUACUGGGCGUAAAGCGCACGUAGGCGGCUUUGUAAGUUAGAGGUGAAAGCCCAGGGCUUAACCCUGGAAUUGCCUUUAAGACUGCAUCGCUCGAAUUGUGGAGAGGUAAGUGGAAUUCCGAGUGUAGAGGUGAAAUUCGUAGAUAUUCGGAAGAACACCAGUGGCGAAGGCGACUUACUGGACACAUAUUGACGCUGAGGUGCGAAAGCGUGGGGAGCAGACAGG
rnacentral:rRNA from 1 species